UCCUACGGGAGGCAGCAGUGGGGAAUUUUGGACAAUGGGCGAAAGCCUGAUCCAGCAAUGCCGCGUGUGGGAAGAAGGCCUUCGGGUUGUGAACCACUUUUGUACGGAACGAAACGGUUCGCUUUAAUACAGUGGGCUAAUGACGGUACCGUAAGAAUAAGCACCGGCUAACUACGUGCCAGCAGCCGCGGUAAUACGUAGGGUGCGAGCGUUAAUCGGAAUUACUGGGCGUAAAGCGUGCGCAGGCGGUCAUAUAAGACAGUUGUGAAAUCCCCGGGCUCAACCUGGGAAUUGCAUCUGUGACUGUAUAGCUAGAGUACGGUAGAGGGGGAUGGAAUUCCGCGUGUAGCAGUGAAAUGCGUAGAUAUGCGGAGGAACACCGAUGGCGAAGGCAAUCCCCUGGACCUGUACUGACGCUCAUGCACGAAAGCGUGGGGAGCAAACAGGAUUAGGAUACCCUGGUAGUCCCGACGACCUAACGACUAGUACUACGUAGGUUGUUGGGUGGUCGAUUAGUACUACUAGUAACGUAAGACGUACGCGUGUAGUAGACCGCCGUGGGUAGGUACGGCCGCGAGUUAGAACGUACGAAGAAGUAGACGGCGUGAGACGUGACGACGGACGACGACGAGGGAGGAGG
rnacentral:rRNA from 1 species